rnacentral:rRNA from 1 species
UAAGGAAUAUUGGUCAAUGGACGCAAGUCUGAACCAGCCAUGCCGCGUGAAGGAUGAAGGUCCUCUGGACUGUAAACUUCUUUUAUCUGGGACGAAAACGGGAUUUUUAUCUCAAUUGACGGUACCAGAGGAAUAAGCACCGGCUAACUCCGUGCCAGCAGCCGCGGUAAUACGGAGGGUGCGAGCGUUAUCCGGAUUUACUGGGUUUAAAGGGUGCGUAGGUGGGCUUAUAAGUCAGUGGUGAAAUCUCCGAGCUUAACUUGGAAACUGCCGUUGAUACUAUAGGUCUUGAAUUAUCUGGAGGUCAGCGGAAUAUGUCAUGUAGCGGUGAAAUGCUUAGAUAUGACAUAGAACACCAAUUGCGAAGGCAGCUUACUACAUAUAAAUUGACGCUGAGGCACGAAAGCGUGGGGAUCAAACA